UCAAUCUCGUGCGGCUAAAAACCGCUUGUCCCUCUAAGAAGAUUUUUCCACCUGGAGCAGUAAAGAUCCAGGCGUCUAGUUAGCAGGUGAGAGUCUCGUUCGUUAU
rnacentral:rRNA from 1 species